rnacentral:lncRNA from 1 species
UCGAUCAGCACAGCAUUGAGACGUUGAGUCUCAGCCACGGCUACGCUAUUGGAGACGCCAGCGGGCGACAACAGACACAUAGCCCAGGCGGCGUGCUGGAGUUGCACUUCGCGGCCGUAUUCCUCAAGAAUAUCCCGGAUGCUCAUUGCGAAGGAAGGAUAUGGGGUGAGAAGCCAAAGUGGCGAGGGCGCUAUUUAUAGGAGGGGAGAAGUGGGAGC